rnacentral:rRNA from 1 species
GACGAACGCUGGCGGCGUGCUUAACACAUGCAAGUCGAACGCUGAAGCUUGGUGCUUGCACUGGGUGGAUGAGUGGCGAACGGGUGAGUAAUACGUGAGUAACCUGCCCUUGACUCUGGGAUAAGCCUGGGAAACUGGGUCUAAUACUGGAUACGACAUGUCACCGCAUGGUGGUGUGUGGAAAGGGUUUUACUGGUUUUGGAUGGGCUCACGGCCUAUCAGCUUGUUGGUGGGGUAAUGGCUCACCAAGGCGACGACGGGUAGCCGGCCUGAGAGGGUGACCGGCCACACUGGGACUGAGACACGGCCCAGACUCCUAUGGGAGGCAGCAGUGGGGAAUAUUGCACAAUGGGCGGAAGCCUGAUGCAGCGACGCCGCGUGAGGGAUGACGGCCUUCGGGUUGUAAACCUCUUUCAGCACGGAAGAAGCGAAAGUGACGGUACGUGCAGAAGAAGCGCCGGCUAACUACGUG